rnacentral:rRNA from 1 species
CCUACGGGUGGCAGCAGUGAGGCAUAUUGGUCAAUGGGCGCGAGUCUGAACCAGCCAAGUAGCGUGAAGGAUGCCUGCCCUACGGGUUGUAAACUUCUUUUAUAAAGGAAUAAAGUGAGGCACGUGUGCCUUUUUGUAUGUGUUUUAUUAAUAAUGAUCGUCUAACUCCGUGCCAGCAGCCGCGUUAAUACGGAGGAUCCGAGCGUUAUCCGGAUUUAGUGGGUUUAAAGGGAGCGUAGAUGGGUUGUUAAGUCAGUUGUGAAAGUGUGCGGCUCAACCGUAAAAUUGCAAUUGAUACUGGCAGUCUUGAGUACAGGUGAGGUAGGCGGAAUUCGUGGUGUAGCGGUGAAAUGCUUAGAUAUCACGAAGAACUCCGAUUGCGAAGGCAGCUUACUAAACUGCCACUGACAUUGAUGCUCGAAAGUGUGGGUAUCAAACAGGAUUAGAUACCCGUGUAGUC